ensembl:lncRNA
UCUUCCUACAGGGGAGAGCGCUGGCAUCUCACGGCGAGCUAAUUGGAGCUUCAGCUGCGUGCCUCUGGUUGUCCAGGAGCUUCCUUCUGCCCGUCCUAAGUAAGGAGAAGCAGCAGGAGGAACAGCCGGGGCCAGAUGGGACUGCAUGGAGGGAGAAUCGGAGACUCUGCUUGCAAGGUGUCUCUGUGCAGGUGGUGAUGCUGAACUCUCUGGAGCUGCUGUGUUCACCUAGAACUUGUUAGACCUGUGGAAAAGAUCUUGCCAAGGAGCUACAGAGGACAACAAAUGUUUCCCAGCCUUCCUACUGUAACACCCUGAUGUGAGUAACAACCGGGGUGGUUUGUUGGGGGUCUUUCUCUUUUGGUAAAUAAACUUUCCUGCGCAUCCAUUUGCAGCUGCCGCUCACCCCUCUUUUGCUCUGCUUAUGUGUGCGUUCCUUUCCUGGCCGUAGGGCAGUGCUGCACAGCCUGCAGAAGAGACUGAGUGGUCUCUCAGGAAUAAAAACGUGAAGGCUGCUCUGUAAUACGAAAUAGAACGCGCAGUAAAAUGUUUACGUGAGAAACCAUGUCAGCAGCUGCAUCUUUUUAUCAAAGAAUAUAUAUUCAGAAAUGUUUACAUAGAAACGUGACAGCACUAAAUCUGGGUAGUCAGUCACUAAGCUCUGCAAAGAUACAAAGCCGGCUAAGAAAAAUAAUGACGUUCCCCCGAGGCAGCCUGUAACUUACAAUAUAUGUAAGGCCCGAGCAUUUAAAGGCUCCUGUCCUGCCCUUAUUCUCCUCCACACUUCCUCCGUGUGGUCACUCCAAAUUGCUGCCAGCUGGCCUAUUUGUCAUGUGUGUUUGUUUGUACUGCCUCUAAUUUUUGACCUUUCAAAGAGGCAGACAAAAUCUGUGGCUUAUGCAAAUCUUUGAAUUUACAGCCAGCCCAGCCUACUGGUGGGAAGGAAAAAUACGAUGAGUUUAAACCGCAGAAGGGAACAGAUUCAGUUCUCAAGUGCCUCUUCAUUGACCGUGGACCCCAACUUGUGUAUAAAUGGGUUGGAGCCUUGCCUCUUCCGCCUCUCUAUGGCAGAGAGCACCGUAGGUUCCUUCUGAGCUACGUUCAGCCUGACAAAUAUGCCCUGUUUUGUUUGUUCCGGGAUUCCAAGCUUUUUCAAGUGAUAGGUUUUAUAGCGUGGCGUGUUUAUAAAGACAAAAACAGGACAGAAGGGGGAAAAAAAAAAAGAUUUAAAGCCUUCCUGCAUUGUAGAGAAAGAAGAAUGAAACUAGAAGGCUGAUCUGUCAUCAAACAGAAUGCCCCAGCGCGUGGAUAAAUGGCAAGACAGGCAGCCUGGGUGAUAUUUCCAGUUUCCCUGGAGUGAAAGCACAUGCAGUUUAC